GAGAGUGGGUAGUCCGCACGAGCGCACCCUGUCGAUAGUUGCUACCAGCUUAGGGCUGGGCACUCUAUCGAGACUGCCGGUGUGAAACCGGAGGAAGGUGGGGAUGACGUCAAGUCCUCAUGGCCCUUACGUCCGGGGCUACACACGUGUUACAAUGGUCGGUACAAAGGGAUGCGAAUGGGCGACCUGGAGCGAAUCCCAAAAAGCCGAUCCCAGUUCGGAUUGGAGUCUGCAACUCGACUCCAUGAAGUAGGAAUCGCUAGUAAUCGCGUAUCAGAACGACGCGGUGAAUACGUUCCCGGGCCUUGUACACACCGCCCGUCACACCACGAGAGUUGGUUGGACCGGAAGCCGGUGGCCUAACCUUUGGGAGGGAGCCGUCGAUGGUCUGGCUGGCGAUUGGGGUGAAGUCGUAACAAGGUAGCCGUAGGGGAACCUGCGGCUGGAUCACCUCCUUUCU
rnacentral:rRNA from 1 species